rnacentral:rRNA from 1 species
GGGUUGUGAGGUUAAGCGACUAAGCGUACACGGUGGAUGCCCUGGCAGUCAGAGGCGAUGAAGGACGUGCUAAUCUGCGAUAAGCGUCGGUAAGGUGAUAUGAACCGUUAUAACCGGCGAUUUCCGAAUGGGGAAACCCAGUGUGAUUCGUCACACUAUCAUUACGUGAAUACAUAGCGUAAUGAAGCGAACCGGGGGAACUGAAACAUCUAAGUACCCCGAGGAAAAGAAAUCAACCGAGAUUCCCCCAGUAGCGGCGAGCGAACGGGGAGCAGCCCAGAGUCUGAAUCAGCUUGUGUGUUAGUGGAACGGUCUGGAAAGUCCGACGGUACAGGGUGAUAGUCCCGUACACCAAAAUGCACAGGUUGUGAACUCGAAGAGUAGGGCGGGACACGUGGUAUCCUGUCUGAAUAUGGGGGGACCAUCCUCCAAGGCUAAAUACUCCUGACUGACCGAUAGUGAACCAGUACCGUGAGGGAAAGGCGAAAAGAACCCCGGCGAGGGGAGUGAAAAAGAACCUGAAACCGUGUACGUACAAGCAGUGGGAGCCUCUUUAUGGGGUGACUGCGUACCUUUUGUAUAAUGGGUCAGCGACUUAUAUUCUGUAGCAAGGUUAACCGUAUAGGGGAGCCGAAGGGAAACCGAGUCUUAACUGGGCGUUAAGUUGCAGGGUAUAGACCCGAAACCCGGUGAUCUAGCCAUGGGCAGGUUGAAGGUUGGGUAACACUAACUGGAGGACCGAACCGACUAAUGUUGAAAAAUUAGCGGAUGACUUGUGGCUGGGGGUGAAAGGCCAAUCAAACCGGGAGAUAGCUGGUUCUCCCCGAAAGCUAUUUAGGUAGCGCCUCGUGAACUCAUCUUCGGGGGUAGAGCACUGUUUCGGCUAGGGGGUCAUCCCGACUUACCAACCCGAUGCAAACUGCGAAUACCGAAGAAUGUUAUCACGGGAGACACACGGCGGGUGCUAACGUCCGUCGUGAAGAGGGAAACAACCCAGACCGCCAGCUAAGGUCCCAAAGUCAUGGUUAAGUGGGAAACGAUGUGGGAAGGCACAGACAGCCAGGAUGUUGGCUUAGAAGCAGCCAUCAUUUAAAGAAAGCGUAAUAGCUCACUGGUCGAGUCGGCCUGCGCGGAAGAUGUAACGGGGCUAAACCAUGCACCGAAGCUGCGGCAGCGACACUAUGUGUUGUUGGGUAGGGGAGCGUUCUGUAAGCCGUUGAAGGUGGCCUGUGAGGGUUGCUGGAGGUAUCAGAAGUGCGAAUGCUGACAUAAGUAACGAUAAUGCGGGUGAAAAACCCGCACGCCGGAAGACCAAGGGUUCCUGUCCAACGUUAAUCGGGGCAGGGUGAGUCGACCCCUAAGGCGAGGCCGAAAGGCGUAGUCGAUGGGAAACAGGUUAAUAUUCCUGUACUUGGUGUUACUGCGAAGGGGGGACGGAGAAGGCUAUGUUAGCCGGGCGACGGUUGUCCCGGUUUAAGCAUGUAGGCGGAGGUUCCAGGUAAAUCCGGUACCUUUUAACGCUGAGGUGUGAUGACGAGGCACUACGGUGCUGAAGUAACAAAUGCCCUGCUUCCAGGAAAAGCCUCUAAGCAUCAGGUAACACGAAAUCGUACCCCAAACCGACACAGGUGGUCAGGUAGAGAAUACCAAGGCGCUUGAGAGAACUCGGGUGAAGGAACUAGGCAAAAUGGUGCCGUAACUUCGGGAGAAGGCACGCUGAUAUGUAGGUGAAGUGAUUUACUCAUGGAGCUGAAAUCAGUCGAAGAUACCAGCUGGCUGCAACUGUUUAUUAAAAACACAGCACUGUGCAAACACGAAAGUGGACGUAUACGGUGUGACGCCUGCCCGGUGCCGGAAGGUUAAUUGAUGGGGUUAUCCGUAAGGAGAAGCUCUUGAUCGAAGCCCCGGUAAACGGCGGCCGUAACUAUAACGGUCCUAAGGUAGCGAAAUUCCUUGUCGGGUAAGUUCCGACCUGCACGAAUGGCGUAAUGAUGGCCAGGCUGUCUCCACCCGAGACUCAGUGAAAUUGAACUCGCUGUGAAGAUGCAGUGUACCCGCGGCAAGACGGAAAGACCCCGUGAACCUUUACUAUAGCUUGACACUGAACACUGGUCCUUGAUGUGUAGGAUAGGUGGGAGGCUUUGAAGUGUGGACGCCAGUCUGCAUGGAGCCAUCCUUGAAAUACCACCCUUUAAUGGCUGGUGUUCUAACGUGGACCCGUGAUCCGGGUUGCGGACAGUGUCUGGUGGGUAGUUUGACUGGGGCGGUCUCCUCCUAAAGAGUAACGGAGGAGCACGAAGGUUAGCUAAUCCUGGUCGGACAUCAGGAGGUUAGUGCAAAGGCAUAAGCUAGCUUGACUGCGAGAGUGACGGCUCGAGCAGGUGCGAAAGCAGGUCUUAGUGAUCCGGUGGUUCUGAAUGGAAGGGCCAUCGCUCAACGGAUAAAAGGUACUCCGGGGAUAACAGGCUGAUACCGCCCAAGAGUUCAUAUCGACGGCGGUGUUUGGCACCUCGAUGUCGGCUCAUCACAUCCUGGGGCUGAAGUAGGUCCCAAGGGUAUGGCUGUUCGCCAUUUAAAGUGGUACGCGAGCUGGGUUUAGAACGUCGUGAGACAGUUCGGUCCCUAUCUGCCGUGGGCGCUGGAGAAUUGAGGGGGGCUGCUCCUAGUACGAGAGGACCGGAGUGGACGCAUCACUGGUGUUCGGGUUGUCAUGCCAAUGGCAUUGCCCGGUAGCUAAAUGCGGAAGAGAUAAGUGCUGAAAGCAUCUAAGCACGAAACUUGCCCCGAGAUGAGUUCUCCCUGAGACUAUAAGUCUCCUGAAGGAACGUUGAAGACGACGACGUUGAUAGGUCGGGUGUGUAAGUGUAGCGAUACAUUGAGCUAACCGAUACUAAUGAACCGUGAGGCUUAACCUUACAACGCCGAAG